rnacentral:rRNA from 1 species
AUUGAACGCUGGCGGCAGGCCUAACACAUGCAAGUCGAGCGGAGCGGCGGACGGGUGAGUAAUGCCUAGGAAUCUGCCUGGUAGUGGGGGAUAACGUCCGGAAACGGGCGCUAAUACCGCAUACUAUCAGCUUAUCCUAGGUCGGAUUAGCUAGUGGGUGGGGUAAAGGCCUGCCAAGACGACGAUCCGAAACUGGUCCGAGCGGAUGAUCAGUCAAACUAGACCUGAAACCGGGUCAGGCCUCCUACGGUAGGAGGCGGUGGAGAAUGUGGGACAGGGGUCGGAAGCCUGGUCCGGACAUGCCGCGGGUGUGAAGGAGGUCUUCGGAUUGUAAAGCACUUUAAGUUGGGAGGCGUUACCAAAAGAAUAAGCACCGGCUAACUUCGUGCCAGCAGCCGCGGUAAUAC